AUGUGGUCAGAGGAGUCUGUGCUCUCCCUGCAGGAAUGUUUUAAAUGUACAGAUUGGGACGUUUUUAUUCGGUCUUGUGGGGAUGAUCUGGACGCUCUGGUGGAUGUCACCAGCUCUUAUGUUGUUUUCUGUAAAGACAUGAUUAUACCUCGCAAGCGUGUUAAAGUGUACCCUAACAACAAACCAUGGGUCACAAAAAAUGUUAAAACCUGUCUGAAGAGCAAGAAAUUGGCUUUCAAAGAAGGGGCUGUCUCUGACCUUCAGUCAGCCACCAAAGAACUGAAAACUGAGAUUUUGAAAGCAAAACAACAGUAUAAAACCGCUCUUGAAAAUAAGAUGGCUGCAAACAAUCUUGGCUCUGCAUGGUCAUGUAUGAAAACCAUUGUAGGCCUUCAAAACCCCCAGAGCAGCAGGCAGACCAUUUUAGACAGUUUUAAUUCAGACAGAGAUUUUGCAAAUGCUCUUAAUAGUUUUUAUGUUCGUUUUAAUUCUUUUGAUUUUAGUAAAGACAUUUUAGAGCUGAAACAGGACCUGAAGGACAGUCAGCACUCUGCCAUUGAACUGAACGAUGUCAGAAAGGCUUUCAGCUCUGUAAAGAUGAACAAGAGCCAGCGUCCUGACAACAUCAGUGGCUGUCUUAUCAAAUCCUGUGCUGACGAACUCAGUCCUAUAUUUCAGUUUAUUUUUAAUAAGUCCUUGCAAACACAGCACGUGCCCACUCCCUGGAAGGAUGCUGUCGUGGUCCCUGUCCCUAAGUCCAGCCAUCCAAAAACUUUGAAUGACUUUAGGCCUGUCGCUCUCAUCCCAGUAGUCAUGAAAGUUUUUGAGAAGCUGGUUAAGACUGUGAUUUUCAAGGAGACAGAGCAUGAGUUGGAUCCUAUGCAGUUUGCAUACAGGCCCAACAGAGGAGUGGAAGACGCCACACUGACUCUUUUAAACAUGAUUUUUAAACAUGUGGAGGGUAAAGGGGCAUUUGCAAGGCUUUUAUUUGUAGACUUCUCCGCUUUUAACACAAUCCAGCCCCACAUUUUAAUUAAAAGGCUUUUAGAACAGUUUAAGAUCAGUAAAAACCUGAUGGGCUGGAUUUUAGAUUUAACAGACAGGUCCCAAAGAGUGAGGAUGAAUGGGGUUCUGUCCAACCCAGUUCUCUCCUCCACUGGUUCUCCUCAAGGCUGUGUCCUGUCACCAUUAUUAUACAUUCUGUACACAAAUAUGUGUCAGAGUGAAUAUGAUAACAGGACCAUCAUUAAGUAUGCUGAUGAUUCAGUCAUUGUCAGCCUGCUCAAAGAGGGGGAGACCAGUCACGGCCCUAUUAUUGAUGACUUUGUCCAGUCGUGUGAGGAGUCCUACCUUCACGUGAACACAUCUAAAACAAAAGAUAUGAUUAUUGAUUUUAGGAAAAAACAGGACAGGCACGGAGUCACUUUAAUUAAAGGUCAGACUAUAGAGCAAGUGCAAUCAUACAAAUACCUUGGGACGAUAAUUGAUGAAAAAUUGAGUUUUAAUGAAAACUGUAGAUCUGUGUGUAAAAAGGGCCAUCAGCACCUCCACUGCCUUAGGAAACUGGCACACUUCCACAUUGACCGAACCAUUUUAACUUUGUUUUAUCGUUCCUUUAUUGAGUCUGUUUUAUCUUUUUGUCUGGUGGCGUGGUUCGGUCAGACCUCAGCUGCAGAGAGAAACUCACUAAAUCAAAUAGUGAGAUGGUCUAGUCACCUGAUUGGUGAGUCCCAGUCUUGUCCCGCCUCCCUGUACACUAAACAGGUACAGAGGAUGGCUUCAUCAGUUCUUAACAAUGACUCCCAUCCUUUACGAGGUGAAUUUCAACUCCUUUCCUCUGGAAGGAGGUUCUUAGUCCCAAGGUGCAGGACACAGCGUUAUAAAAACAGCUUUGUUCCUGUCGCCGUCACUGAGCUCAAUAAGAAAUAG
ensembl:lncRNA